rnacentral:lncRNA from 1 species
GACAGCACCCUUCUCGCCGGCCAGGCAUAACCAGAGGAGACCAGACUGCCAUCGCAAUGCACCCGGAUGGUUCUGCACAUGGCCCUGGUGGGGGGCAUGGGGGUCGGGCUGAGGAGGAGGCGAGACUCACGGGACAGGCCUGCGUCUGGUCCAGGAUGUCCAGGGUGCCGACACUUUCACUAUCACAGGCGCAGUGGAAGGUGAUGGCCCUGUGAGUAAGGCCCUGAAGUCUGCAGUAAGCCACUUUCCCUCAACGCUGUCUCCCUUCCCGAAGGGAAAGCCACAGCCCUGGCUAAUGUUGGAGGAAGGGGAGGCCUGGACAGCUGCCUGAACCCAAGCUGGGCUCUGUGGGGCUGUGGGGCCAGCAGACGUGGGAUGUGAGCCACACUGGUAAUUUCAAUCUUCUAGUACAUGUUAGGAGGUGAUAUGGUUUGGAUGUGUGUCCCCACCCAAAUCUCAUGUGGAAUUGUAAUUCCCAGUGUUGGAGGUGGGGCCAGGUGGGAGGUGUUUGGAUCAUGGGAGCAGAUCCCUCAUGAGUGGCUUGGGCCAUCCCCGUGGUGAUAAGUGAGCUUUUGCUCUGAGUUCACACGAGGUCUGGUCAUUUAAAAGUGUGUGGCACCACCCUCCACUCCCUCUCUCUUGCUCCUGCUUUCGCCAUGUGAAGUGCCUGCUCCCCGUUCGCCUUCCAACAUGACUGGAGGCUCCUUGAGGCCUCCCUGGAAGCCGAGCAGAUGCCAGCACCACACUUCUUGUAAAGCCUCCAGAACCGUGAGCCAACUAAAUCUCUUUUCUUUGUAAAUUACCCAGCUUCAGGUAUUUCUUUAUAGCAACACAAGAAUGGCCUAAUACAGAGGGGAAAAUGAAACAGGUGAAAUUAGCAUUAAUAACACAUUUUAUUGAACUCAAUAUAUCUAAAUUACUAUUUGUCAACAUGCAAUCAAUGUAAAAGUUAUAAUGAGGCCCUGUACACACCUAUUUCGUAUAAAGUGCCUGCCAUCUGGAGCCUCUUUUCUAUUGCCCAUGCCUCCCAGCCAUGGUCAUGUGUAGCUUGGGGAUCCCCUAUUGGACAGGCUCAAAAAGAAGCACCCCAUCACUGUCCCCCAGGGCACCCCAUCAGAUCUCUGAACAAGUGCUCAGAACCCCUCCACCUAAAGGCUGCCCAGGAUGAGGGGGAUGGCAAAUGUGAAGACUCCCCCGCCCAACCUGCACACCAAGGCUUACUUCUGAAUGGACUUGCUGUCACUGAUGGGCACGUGAGAACUCGGCAGACAGUCUUCCUUCAUCUUCUCUUCCUCUUGUCUGCAGACCUAGAAGUUACUUGCUGGGAAGACAAGGAAGGGUGGACAGACAGGUGAGCCAGAGGAGUGCCGGCCAGUGCAGCACCCAACACCCGCAGCCCUGGCACAGACACCGUCGGCCUUGGCAUCACACCGCCUUGGCACAAGGUGGCUGCGGCUGAAAGGGUCUGGCCCAGACCCACAUGGCCACAUGUCAGUCAAGCUGCCUUGGUUGGGCAAGGUCAUGCUGAGCCAGUGACACUGGUCCUUUCAGCCGCCCACCCCAGAAGACUCUCCAUAAUCCCCAGGAAUCCAGAUCCAUCUCCUAAGCAUUUUAGAUCACAUGCUCCCUUCCCUUGGCAGGGACAGCCUGACUACUGGCUUCUGCCUCGGUUGCUCCUGCAAUCCUCCAGAGCUACCCUGGGCCUCUCUCCUGCCUUCCCGCUCAGCCAGGCAGUGGCCCAUCACUGGCUGUCCUGGCAGUGGGUUAGUCGGCACUGUGUUCCCUAUGUGCUGUAAAUGGUUGGCAUCUUCUCUGAGUUAUCUCCUCCAGUCCCUACAACGAUAUUGUGAGGUGAGUAUCACCAUAUUCCCAUUUUACAGAUGAGAAGACAGGGACAAGAGCUUAAGCACUUUGCCCAAGAUUACCAGCAAGUAAGCAGAAAAGCCACUGUUCCAGCACAAGCAUUUGGACCCCUGAUUCUGGUCUCUUAGUACCUUCUCUAUAUUGAUCACGGGCAGUGACUUAAACUCCCAAACCUUCCUUUCCUCGUCUGUGCAACAAGGUAAUCUCAAGCCCACAGGAUCAUUAGUGGAUCCACACACACGCGGUUCACACACACUGUUCCACACACAUACUAUUCCCUCUUUCCACACACAGCCUUGAUUGGUUUGAGGAGCCGCUCCUGCCCUCCCCAGGUUUCUUUCACGGACAGUAAAUCCACCAGAGCUUUCUCGAACCUGUUGGCAUCUGCACAGCUUCCUGUUCCUCUCUCUCCCCCAUGUCAAUGUGGCCAAGGACUCUUAUCAAGGCCUCCUACAUGCUAGGCAGGGAGGUAAAGCUUCACACACACAUACAUACACACACACACACACAC